rnacentral:rRNA from 1 species
AGGACGAACGCUGGCGGCGUGCUUAACACAUGCAAGUCGAGCGGAAAGGCCCUUCGGGGUACUCGAGCGGCGAACGGGUGAGUAACACGUGAGCAAUCUGCCCUUAGCUUCGGGAUAGCCCCGGGAAACCGGGAUUAAUACCGAAUACGACCUCGGCCGACAUCGGCUUUGGUGGAAAGUUUUUCGGCUAGGGAUGAACUCGCGGCCUAUCAGCUUGUUGGUGGGGUAAUGGCCUACCAAGGCGACGACGGGUAGCCGGCCUGAGAGGGCGACCGGCCACACUGGGACUGAGACACGGCCCAGACUCCUACGGGAGGCAGCAGUGGGGAAUAUUGCGCAAUGGGCGAAAGCCUGACGCAGCGACGCCGCGUGGGGGAUGAAGGCCUUCGGGUUGUAAACCCUUUCAGCAGGGACGAAGCGAGAGUGACGGUACCUGCAGAAGAAGCGCCGGCUAACUACGCGCCAGCAGCCGC